rnacentral:rRNA from 1 species
UGGCGAACGGGUGAGUAACGCGUGAGGAACCUGCCUCAAANAGGGGGACAACAGUUGGAAACGACUGCUAAUACCGCAUAAGCCCACGGGUCGGCAUCGACCAGAGGGAAAAGGAGCAAUCCGCUUUGAGAUGGCCUCGCGUCCGAUUAGCUAGUUGGUGAGGUAACGGCCCACCAAGGCAACGAUCGGUAGCCGGACUGAGAGGUUGAACGGCCACAUUGGGACUGAGACACGGCCCAGACUCCUACGGGAGGCAGCAUG